CAAAUUAUAGUCAUAACGCCUGCAUCAAAUAUGGUAUGUUCUAAUGUACACACACACAUAUGCCAAUUAUUGGUUAUUCGGAAAUGACAAACUGCUCAAAAUACUAAAACUAGCUCCUAGGCAUUCAAGGAAAAUAAAAAGACUACCCAAUAGGUGUUCAACUUAAAUUUUUUUGAACAAGCCGAAAGCUUAACAACUAUACGUAUUAAUACCUGAAAUAGGAUAAGUCCAAUUAGUACAGGUUGUGUAUCAAACCCAAAACUCUGAAAGAGGUCUUUUGAGUUCCUUACAAGCGUGUACCCUCCAAAUUGCAAAAAUGUGAGGAUCUGCAUUUGGAUAAGAACUCAGUCAGAAUUGAAAGUAUAAAUAUCAGCCACAUUCCUAAGGAAAAGCUUUUAUCCAAUUUAUUAAGCACAAGGCUUCACGGUUUUUUCAGAAACUUUAAUUACUAUUCCAACAGUGUUGCUCACAACCAACUACUCUUUCCAGCGCAUUGAGCCUUGAGGGCUCAAAUGGCCACCAGAAAGACUGGAUAUGAUCAAAUACUUCCAUAAAUAGCACAAGAAUAUAAGUUCAUACUUUCAAAAGCUAGAUAGACUUGAUAUGAAUAAGCACAACACGAUGCAGGUGCCGCAGCUAAGCAAUAUUAAUGGAAAGUCCAUUAGUACAUUUAAUUACAUCUCAUUUUUCUCAUUCUAUUUCUUUAUAGUGCCACCAAAUAUCUCAAAAUAUGAUUGCAUUAACAAUUCAACCAUUGUAUCCAGACUUUAGAAUCAUCAACCUCACAACAGCGCUGUUAAUGAUUCCUAAUUACCACCAAGUUAUGUUCAAAAGGAAAGUAAAAUUAAAAAUUUCAGAGAAUGUUCCAGGAACAUUAAAAGCAUUUUAACUCAUCCAGAUAAUAAUUAGGCCUCUUCCACCAUUAUCAAUGUACUUACAGGAUGACAUUUACUGAUAUGAUAAACCAAGUUAAGAUCAGCAGAAAAGGAAACAGUUGGAAAAUGUCAUUUUAAGUAUAAGAGGUACCAAUUUAUCUAAUAUUGAACAGACGUUCAAAAAGACAGAUCUAGCCACAUAACUUUACACCAAAAGAGUAACUAUUAAAGACCUAAAAAGAUUUCCAACAAGACAAGUAGACAACCAUGUAUAUUCUCUCACACUCCAUAAAAUAUAUAGCUAGACCACAAUCAUUCAGAUUAUACAUGAAAAAUGCAAUAAUUUUUAGCACACAACGAGAACAGCAAAAACAUUUGGUCACCAUUCCAUAUACCCAAAUCAGUAUUUUAAUUCCGUCUGCUAGAAAAUGACUAACAUACCUGAACUGCAAUGAAGGAGUACACAGUAUGAUUAAGCUUCCAGUGACCCAGUUCAUGUGCUAUUACUGCAACAACUUCCUCAUCUUUUUUGCACUGCAGGACAUCAGUUGAUAAGUGAAAUGCACCAGAAGAAUUGAAGAUUUCAAAUUUUUUCAAAAAGAAAAAAGAAAAUCAUGAGAUUAAGCCUCUUUGACAACCAUUAUUUGAAAACUCUUUUUUCUACAUACUAAUUUUUAACUACACAUUUACACAAUAAAAUAUUCUGCACAUAAACCCAAAACUUUUUCUUAUUUUUUAACUACACAUUCUCCUAAAAAUCACUAUUCAAGACAUUGAUUUUCCCAAAUAAUAGUUGUCAAACCAGGGCUAAAAAGGAUAUUCCUUAAUCUAUUUUUAAACUAGUAUUAUCUUCACGAAUUUACUCCAGAAGCAUAAUAAAAGGAAAUGAAGAUCAUAAUUUCCAAGUACAGAGAGAUAAAUCUUCCAUACCUGCUGAAUCAAUGUGUCGUAAAGGACAAUGCGCUUGUUCUUGAAAAAUCCAUACAUGUAAGCCUGUAGAAAUGUGGCUAGCUAAGUCAGAAGCAAUAGGCGCACGAGGGGAACCACAAAGGAAACACUUCAGAAAGGCAAAGUUAAGAGGAAACAGAUACUAAAACAUAAUGCAUUGACAGUGAAAAACAAGAAAAAUUUUCUCCGUUCUCUAGAAUAGGCCAAGAAACACAGAUAUCAUCACAAUUGUAAAGGAGAAUUCACUCAAUUGUGACAGGGUCAGUUCCAGUUUCAUUAGAUUCCAUCUUCAACAUGCAUAUAUCUCAAAGGAGACUGAAAACCAACGAAAUAAUACUCGUGCUCCUUCUAAAGGGGUGAUUGAGGUGCUGCUCCUAGUGAUCUUGAUACAUUUUAUUAAACUACGAUGACAGAAAUUCUUCCAACAGUUUAGAACCCUAUCAUAUGCUCAAUAGCUGCGUACUAGAUUUCAAAUCUAAUUUCAGGUCAUCACAUGGAAGUGGGAAUUACUUGCCCUUGACUGGUAGAAUCAUACUCAUUGUGUACUCAGUAAUAGCAUACUGCAUCUCACCUCUUUAUUUCAGGCCAUCCUAUCGCAUGUUGAAAACUCUUUGUUGGAUUGAAUACAAUUUUAUUUUAUUUUUUAACAACAACCGAAAACAUGCACCAUAAUUUGGCCAAGUCCUAAUGGCAACUAAUAGCCCAUAGUCAAAAUUGAUUGCAGACAACUCUUACUAAUACCACACACUAGUAAGGACAAAGCUAAAUUGAGCCUUCUAUUUUUAUGGCUCAUAAUGUUUAGAACACUACUUCAGGAUCAAUGACUCUAAAACAAGUCAUCAGAUUCCUUGACAACCAUGCAAGACAUGGAACAAAGGUGCUAGUGGUAUUUUAUGUUGUUUUGUAGAGGAGGGGGUUAUUAAUUCAAUAAAGAACAAUACUAUGCCCCUGUUUGGUGGGGACUAAAAUCAAUUUUUUAGUAGAUUUUGAUAAAAGUUAAUGAAGUGUGUGGUUAAAAAGUUUUGGGUCGACGAAAGCUCACUCUACCAAGCCACAAUUCUAAUGGAUAGUCAUUGUGACCCCGACCCGAGGCUUGAUUCCAGCGUGAUACACUUUGGAUCGAAAACGUUUGCAAUUCUUCCUGUUACUUUUACAGAACUUCACUUACCUUCCUCUCAAUCCGAAUUGAGCACACCAAGAACGUUCUCGAUGGUGAGAACUUCCCCGCUAAUUCUAAGUCGACGGUCCCAUGAAAUAUGUAGUUCAAAUUAAUUGUUGGCUUUGACUUAUAUUAAAAUCUGGUUUUAAUUCCUUCAAAACACGGGUUAUAUGAACAAAGUGGAGAUGAUCCCCACAUGAUAUUGGAUGAAAUGAUAAGACCAAUUAAAUUGUGGAUAUGAGACCCAAAUUAUUGGCCUUACAAUUUAAUGCCGCCUCACAUGGGGUGGGGAUCAUCCCCAAUUUGUAUAUAUAGCAUUACUCUUCCAUAAAAUGGGAGAACAACUCAUUCUAGUUUAGAAAGACUAUCAACUUUUCCUUAAAAAAAAAUGUAGCAUUUUUUUCUUUUACUUUAUUCUUCAUAUAUCUUGCAUGGUUGAAGAUAUAGUGUUAGGUAAGGCCAUGGAUGUAGAAGUCAAUUGUUCUACACCUAAAAUAUCAUUUAGCUAAGCACAGAUUCGCAUAAUCAAAAAGACCAUAUAAGCAUUGCAGACAAUCCAAGUAUAAAUAAUAAGAAAAAAUGAUCUACUUUAAAUGUCUGUAAAAAUUCAAAUAAAAUGCACCCAUUAAAAUAAAGCUGGGAAACAACUAUGAUAUACAAUAAAAAUCCUUACAUUGCUAUGGCUAGACCUUGUGGAUCCAUCAAUAACGAACAGUUUCUUCAAGGGAAAUUUGAGCGACGAAGAAAGAUUCUCAAUUUUGACCCUAAGCUCUCCAUCUGGGAGCUAUUUGUUGGCCAAAAAAAAAAACAAAUGAAUAAAUAGAUGAGCAAUCCAAAAAGGUAUCACGAUUGAUGAAGUCAGCCACAAGUAAUACACAACUUUUCCACUUAUUGGCUAGUUAAGAUAGAAUGUCAAUUUUUUCCUAGUUAAAAAUAAUUAGACAACCCAACCUACCGGCGUGAAUUUGUUGAAAAGCGGAGCAAUCAAAACCGGGUAAACUGUCAUCAUGACAAGAGACAGAACAAGCAUAAAAGCCCACAGAUAUAUGGCCAAGUAGGGGCCUCCUUUCUGCAAACCAAAAACCAUUUUCACUCAAGAUGAUUAAUCUCUUUCUUUCUGUCAAUAAUUGCUCAAGUGAUUAUUCCUAGUCUAUAAACGUUGAGAACAUUAAUGAGAAAGAAAUCAAAAUAUAAAUUGAAAUUAAAAAUGUAGCAAAAAUAUCAAGUUGAUCCAUAAUAUUACCAUUAGCAGAUUUAUUAGAAAAAAAAUGUACCUGCACUAUUACAAUUAUGGCAGCUACAAUAGGUGGACCAAUCACUAUAGCUAAGACAAUCCCUUUUAUCAUGUCUCUAAAGAAUAACCAUAUUGUUUGCUGUAUAAAAAAAAAAAAAAAAAAAAAAAAAAUUUAAUAACAAAAAAAAAAUUUAAUCAUUAGNNNNNNNNNNNNNNNNNNNNNNNNNNNNNNNNNNNNNNNNNNNNNNNNNNNNNNNNNNNNNNNNNNNNNNNNNNNNNNNNNNNNNNNNNNNNNNNNNNNNNNNNNNNNNNNNNNNNNNNNNNNNNNNNNNNNNNNNNNNNNNNNNNNNNNNNNNNNNNNNNNNNNNNNNNNNNNNCCGAAAGCUUAACAACUAUACGUAUUAAUACCUGAAAUAGGAUAAGUCCAAUUAGUACAGGUUGUGUAUCAAACCCAAAACUCUGAAAGAGGUCUUUUGAGUUCCUUACAAGCGUGUACCCUCCAAAUUGCAAAAAUGUGAGGAUCUGCA
rnacentral:lncRNA from 1 species